rnacentral:rRNA from 1 species
AUUGAACGCUGGCGGCAGGCCUAACACAUGCAAGUCGAACGGUAACAGGAAGCAGCUUGCUGCUUCGCUGACGAGUGGCGGACGGGUGAGUAAUGUCUGGGAAGCUGCCUGAUGGAGGGGGAUAACUACUGGAAACGGUAGCUAAUACCGCAUAAUGUCGCAAGACCAAAGAGGGGGACCUUCGGGCCCCUUGCCAUCGGAUGUGCCCAGAUGGGAUUAGCUUGUUGGUGGGGUAACGGCUCACCAAGGCGACGAUCCCUAGCUGGUCUGAGAGGAUGACCAGCCACACUGGAACUGAGACACGGUCCAGACUCCUACGGGAGGCAGCAGUGGGGAAUAUUGCACAAUGGGCGCAAGCCUGAUGCAGCCAUGCCGCGUGUAUGAAGAAGGCCUUCGGGUUUUAAAGUACUUUCAGCGGGGAGGAAGGGAGUAAAGUUAAUACCUUUGCUCAUUGACGUUACCCUCAGAAGAAGCACCGGCUAACUCCGUG